rnacentral:rRNA from 1 species
AAUCGUGGUGAAGGAACUCGGCAAAAUACCCCCGUAACUUCGGGAUAAGGGGGACCUGCGACGUGUUAGAACUUGCUUCGAGAGCGUCAAGGGUCGCAGAGACCAGGCCCAAGCGACUGUUUACUAAAAACACAGGUCCGUGCCAACUCGUAAGAGGACGUAUACGGACUGACUCCUGCCCGGUGCUGGAAGGUUAAGGGGAACUGUCAGCCACCUUGUGUGGUGAAGCGGUGAACUUAAGCCCCAGUAAACGGCGGUGGUAACUAUAACCAUCCUAAGGUAGCGAAAUUCCUUGUCGGGUAAGUUCCGACCUGCACGAAUGGAGUAACGAUUUGGGCGCUGUCUCCACCACGAACCCGGUGAAAUUGCAUUACGAGUAAAGAUGCUCGUUACGCGCAGCAGGACGGAAAGACCCCGGGACCUUUACUAUAGUUUGGUAUUGGUGAUCGGUGUGACUUGUGUAGGAUAGGUGGGAGACUGUGAAGCCGGGACGCUAGUUUCGGUGGAGUCGCCGUUGAAAUACCACUCUGGUCACUCUGGUUAUCUAACCUAGGACCGUUAUCCGGUUCAGGGACAGUGCCUGAUGGGUAGUUUGACUGGGGCGGUCGCCUCCUAAAAGGUAACGGAGGCGCCCAAAGGUUCCCUCAGCCUGGUUGGCAAUCAGGUGUUGAGUGUAAGUGCACAAGGGAGCUUGACUGUGAGACUGACGGGUCGAGCAGGUACGAAAGUAGGAACUAGUGAUCCGGCGAUCCCGUGUGGGUGGGUCGUCGCUCAACGGAUAAAAGGUACCCCGGGGAUAACAGGCUGAUCCUGCCCAAGAGUCCAUAUCGACGGCAUGGUUUGGCACCUCGAUGUCGGCUCGUCGCAUCCUGGGGCUGGAGUCGGUCCCAAGGGUUGGGCUGUUCGCCCAUUAAAGCGGCACGCGAGCUGGGUUUAGAACGUCGUGAGACAGUUCGGUCCCUAUCCGCUGCGCGCGUAGGAGUCUUGAGAAGGGCUGUCUCUAGUACGAGAGGACCGGGACGGACUAACCUCUGGUGUGCCAGUUGUUCCACCAGGAGCACUGCUGGUUAGCUACGUUGGGAAGUGAUAACCGCUGAAAGCAUCUAAGCGGGAAGCACGCUUCAAGAUGAG